AUCAUAGCACGUUCACAUCCACGUGACUGAAUCACAUGCCCGCGUUUUGGAUCCGAGACAGACGGUUGCGAUUGCCACACGUGGAUGCAAAGUUAUUGCGUACGGUUGACUGCAUUUAGGAAAUCUCCCAAGAAGAGGAACAGUUUGAAGAUUGCCAGGAGGACAACCGCAGUGACACAACGCAACACACCCUCAAGAUUCUGGUUGUACAUGGAGCUGAUGGAAAGGAUCCAGUGGAUGUAUCCAUUAUUCUAGAAGGCAAGGAGAUCUUGCCGGGAUGCCACAAUACUGCUAAAGCUUGUGCCCUGCUUAUGGGACUCAUUCAUGCCCUUAACCUUGCAUACCCCAGAGCACUGCUUUACACUUUCGAGGUGUUUCAGAAUUUUUUUCUAGAAUUGGAUGCGAUUAAGCUGUCUCCAAAAAUACAAGCUUUAAAGUCAAAGUUGUUUUAUUAAAUGCUUUUGCCAUUGCAAGUACUGCACAUUUUUAGAUGCCAGCACUCCCCAACUAUGUUUGAAAUCUUCCAGGUUCUAUUGGACUAUUUGCACAGACAUAAUGUUUUUCAGAUCACUUGUGUACAUAAUUAGCAGUUUUGCUUUUGAAUUUAGUUUCACCAUUGUGAACAGUGGUGGGAAGACACUUGCCUGUUAGAACUGUUUUCAGCUUUGUGCCAACUAAGGCAUCUGGUCUUUUUUUCUUUAUUGUCAUGUUUAGAGCACUAGUCUAGAGUGCCGUGUUAAUUGUUGAAACUGCAUUGUUUUAGACUAUUUUAAAUUUAACUGAAUUCGUAAAAGCACUACUCAAUAUCUGUUGGAUGCAGAAGCUGUCUCUUUUAAGAAAUUAGUUUUGACAUUAAUUUAGCAACAUUGCUUUAUAUAGAAAUAUUGACAUCUUUAACUGUUAAUCUAAAUAUUUGUAUGCAUUUUAUGCAUUAAUGCUUUAUAUUUUAUGCAUUUAAUGUAAUGUUUAGAGCACAAGUCCAGAGUCCAGAGCUAUGUUGAAACUGCACUAUUUGAGAGGAUUGCUACUUUUAUUGAAAUAGUAAAAAAAUUGUAUCCAUGCAUUAUAUCCAUGAUGUUUAAACCUCAUCACAUGUUUUUGUAUUCCUUUUGGGGUUAAAACACUUUCAGGUCUUGACAAAUUUAGUUGUUUUCAGGACUCCAAUCCCUAGGGUAACAGUUGUCAUUUAAAAAACUUAGGUUUUGCUUUAUGUAACUUUAAAAACAAUAAAUUUGUGUGACUGAGUCAUUGAUUAAUGUUGGAACAAAAUAAAC